CUGCGAUUGAUUAAAUUCAUCCUGUUCCUGUAACUGUGGACAGUCUUAAUUUAUUUUCCCAGGUGGUGCAGAUCCUCGUGAGUGUGACCCUAAAACUAAGUUCAAAUAGUCUCAACUGUUUGGAGUUUUGAACCAGUCACUUUAGCUUGGUUCACGGAAACUCCUAUGAAAUAGCAAGAAAAAAUUUUGGCCUAGUGCCUAUAAGCGGGAAACUUUUUGUGAUUGGUGGUCAAGACAAAUAUCAAAGAAUAUUAUCAAACGUUGAAAGAUUUGAUCCUCAAACCGGAGUAUGGGAAGAAAUGGCUCCAUUAGAAGUUGGGCGAAUGGGAGUGGCUGCUGCUCAAUACAAAGAUCGCAUCUGGGUCUGUGGCGGAAUGACCUGUGCCAAAAAAUCUAUUUUAUCCCAACGAGUUGACUGUUAUGAUACUCAGAAUAAUAUGUGGACCCAAUGUUCCCCGUUGCGUUUUCCGCGCUGUUUUGGGUUUUAUUCCCGAAAGCCGACUCUCUUUAUUUCAUUGGUGGUGCAGGACGUCAGAAUGAAAAGGAAACUACAACUUAUAGUAUCAGUGCCAUUGACUCUUGGGAUGAUUUGAAGAAGGAAUGGUAUCUUGAGACUGAAAUGGCUAUUCCACGUCAUGGACACUCAGUUUGUUAUUUAGGCUCUCAAAUUUUGAUCCUUGGCGGAGUCACAACAACUCGUAUGUGCGCUUUGAGCAACGUUGAAAGCUGGUGUCCUCAAAGCUCAGUUUGGAUCGGUGGCUUUGCAAACUUGCCAGGAGCUCUCUCUGGACAUGGUUCCGUGACCUUGCCACCAGCCUCUUUUGUAUGAAAUUAUUUCUAAGUUUUACAUUAUAUCUAGCUCCAAUUUUUGAAGGGGGUUAACUUAAAAAAAGUAACAAGUUUGGGUAGAUUGAUUAAAGGGACUGAAGGAUAGUCAGAAGUGGAAUCGUUUCUUGAUCGGCUGUAGGCAGCUUUAUGUCACUGCAGCAUCUUUCCGCAUUUUACACUGCUCUAUUCCCUUUCUUGCCAUACUAGACAGUCUUCAGUGUGAAGGGCAACGGUGAACGUAAGAAGGUGACAUCUCUUUUGCUCCUAUCUAGGUCAGUCCUUGAAGCACAUCGAAUCAGAAGCAUUUUUCUAGUUUAUUGACAUACUUCCUAGAUUUGAACUCAACAUCAAUAUUUAGGCGUUUGACCCCUGUGAGUAACUCAUUAAUUUAACUGUUUAACAACAGUAUAAUUUAAGAUUCUUGAAUCCUAGAUUGACCAACUCUGUACACUGGUAUAAAAUUAUAGCACCGUUAGGAAUUAAAAACAACUAGUCAGUAAAAUCAAUAAUUUUCUAAUGAAAAGCUUACAUUCUUUUGCAUACCUUGGUUUGCGCUCACUCUACUCCGAGUACAUCAUGAAAUAUUUUGUUGACCUAUGUUGUACCCUUGUUCAGUUUACGUAUUUCUUUGUCUUUUGAUCUUUCCAUUUUUAAUGCUAAGCUCAUGAUUUUUAGCACAUUUAAAUGGUUAAAUGAUGUGAAAAACUGACCCACCGUACCUUUUCCCUAAUCUGUUAUAAUCAGAAGUUAUAUUAUCACCAGGUCUAUUGUAGAAUUAGCCGAUUUGAAAAUUGAGUUAAGUAUUAUUACUUACGAUCCAAGGGAAGUUUUUCCUAGGUCUCGAUACUGUUACAUUUGUCUAAGUAUUGCGCCAACAUGAUUCUUGUAAUUUAUUCAUACUUUAAAAUAAUUAAUCUGUGCUUUUCAUACUUUCUAUUUUACCUGCUCUUAUAAAAAUUUCAAUAAAACAGUCUUUCAAAUUUAAAUCAUCACUUUACUAUUUUGCAUAGCAAAGUUACUUUUUCCAAGAUUUUGUAAAACAAAAGAAAGAUAUUGAUCAAUUGAAUGCAAAGAUAAGAGGCCCAAUUGUAUGAUUCAUGAAGUUUUAAGUUGAGGUUUUUUUUCUCUCUCCCUAAGAUGAAGAUACAUUUAUUUGGCAAUGCCAAACUUCCAGUCUCAGUUCCAGUGGGGAAGUCUCAAAGUUUAUGAAACAUGCACACUCAAAAAUCUUCUGGCAUAAAACAGCAUCAAGCUAUGCAAUAUUUAGCAUUUGCUAAUGUGUAAUUAUACGUUAAUUUUUUUAUAAGUCUUAUGCAUAAAUGACGUUGAUUUAUGAUGUGUCUAGAUACAACACACGUCUAAUGCAUUUUCAUAGUUGACAUGAAAUGGAAAAUAAAAGAGACAACAGGGAAAGGAAAAUACGAUUUUGUGCGAAACAUGCAAGAUGUCUUUCGUAUGCUAGCAUAUGCCAGGCUCAAAUGUUGUCAGAAGUUCAGCCAAUGUCAUGAUACACCACGCAUCUAUCAAAAACACCAGAGCAGCAGUUUUAUCAGAUUGAAGACGAAAUAAGAUACCCAAGACCCUGGAAGAUGGACCUUUGUCGGCAAAGACUAAACAUAAGUUAGCACCAUGUAUCUGCAUGUUCUCGAUUCAUAUGGAUGUGAAAAAUCAGGAAACUUGAGAUCUGUCUUUUACAUUACUUUGAAAAUCAAGUCUACUUGUUUUUACAAGUUGUUUCUUUUACUUGUUGUUAAAAGUUUUACUUUUGUACUGCAUUUUCA
rnacentral:lncRNA from 1 species